rnacentral:rRNA from 1 species
AUUGAACGCUGGCGGCAGGCCUAACACAUGCAAGUCGAGCGAGCGGCGGACGGGUGAGUAAUGCUUGGGAAUCUAGCUUAUGGAGGGGGAUAACUACGGGAAACGGUAGCUAAUACCGCAUACCAUCAGAUGUGCCCAGAUGGGAUUAGCUAGUAGGUGGGGUAAUGGCUCACCUAGGCGACGAUCUCUAGCUGGUCUGAGAGGAUGAUCAGCCACACUGGGACUGAGACACGGCCCAGACUCCUACGGGAGGCAGCAGUGGGGAAUAUUGCGCAAUGGGGGCAACCCUGACGCAGCCAUGCCGCGUGAAUGAAGAAGGCCUUCGGGUUGUAAAGUUCUUUCGGUAGCGAGGCGUUAACUACAGAAGAAGCACCGGCUAACUCCGUGCCAGCAGCCGCGGUAAUUC